UUCACCGCCAGUAUACGACAGUGCCACAUGCUCAGGAAGUCAGUAUGCCUGCUACAAUGGUGAUUGCAUUCCUUACUCACAACGAUGUGAUGGAGUCGUUAACUGCUUGGACAACUCUGAUGAAAUCGACUGUGACGACAUAUUUGCCAUAGAGACAGACGAUGACUUUGAUGACCUGACUGUUAAGAAGACAUCAAUUGGCCUCGGUGCCUUCGUUGCUGUGUUCAUCGUCAUCACCUUCAUCGUAGUCAUCGUGAUGAAGAUGCGACAGUCAGAGAGAGGUGAACUUAAAUUGCCAAAGAAUCGACCAAAGACAUUCUCAUCAUACCUCAAGAGUCCUGGAAAAUAUCGGCACCUAAUGAGUGUGCAGCGAGAUGAUGAAGAUGACCUGGCAGCCCUCACCAGUUCUCGCUCCAGUAGCACUCACUCAAACCUGUCGCAGCUUUCCGGCCACAGGGGGCGCUGUGCGGAUUCGAACGGUUCGCUCUCUGUUUCCCGCACCAGCUCACGGCACAGCAUUCGCAGCAACGAGCCGUUCGGUCUCGACGAUCACGUGACGGCCGUUUAAAGGUUAGCCGGUUACCAGACAACACAGCAAUUAUUCGUCCAUGCACAGAUGCAUGCGGGGUGAAUGUGACGUUUUGCCAUGAGGAGAUGCUCACCUGCCUUCAGGUUGUAUCUUGGGGUGCCAUUUUGUUUUUUGUAUACAUAGGUCUACACUUUUUUUUAGAAAAGUGUAUGCAAAGUUAUUUGAGUGGGCUGUGACUGUUUAUAAGCGAGGUUUGAGGUUUGAGCCAAUAUUUUAUUAUUUGUUUAUUAACUUAUUACAAUUUUAUAAUAAUUUAUUUUAGUUAGACUUGGUCUACGCCUCACCUCUAUUUAUGGUUGUCAGAGAAGGCCACCUCAAAAUUAUAGAGAGAUUGUAUGAAUUGUUAAAGUUACGUAAGUAGAAAAGCACAAUUUAAAGUGCCACCUGGUCGGGAAGCAGGAUUAGAAGUCUUGGUUGUUUAUUCAUAAUAUUGGAACACAGUUUGAGUUUUAGAAAUUUUGGCAAAACUCAUGAAUGAUUGUUUGUUCAAAAGCUUUCCUUUAUAGUGCUCAUAUAUGUGCCAUAUUGGCAUCAUGAGUAAUUCAUUGUAAUUUUAUCCUGUUGAAAAUUAAUAGAUAAACGUAGAGGAAUUCAGUGAACCGGUAAAUUCCCCCAAGUCCUCAGUAUGUACACUUCAUGGACACAUAUUGUGAGGUCAUGGUAAGGUCACACAGCACAACAGCUGCUGCAUAACACAGGAUAAUCCUGAGUAACUCUGUUUUUAUCAGUCUAUGCAAUAGUGAAAUAUAGCAUAUUUAGUUGAGAAUAUUGUAGAACAAAAAUCUUUAAGGGUGUGCGGUGUCUGUGGGUCACUACUUGUCUGACGUUAUCUUCACAAUUAUACGGUGCAAUUUUCUUUCGUCUUAAAACCCUAAAACCCACGGUUCUCUUGAAUUCUGGAUGCGUUGUUUUUUGGUUUGUAUAGCCACGUUGACUACAUUAGCAUGUCCGUUAGAACCUGACAGGCAUUUGUUUUACAUUUGUUUUGUUUUUUCUCAGGGUGAAUUUUGGUGUCACCCUCGCAUGAUUUCUAGAAGCCAUAAUCACUCUUUUUUAACCUUGUAUAUAAUGAACAUAUUGUAUAUUGGAAUUUUUUCACUAACUAUGUGAAGUGCUGCUACAGGAUAGCAUGAGCGUGGGGAAAGUCUCCUUAGGUCCCAUCUAACGUAGUUUGUAUCCUCUUGCUGUGUGCUACGCCAAACGAGUGCUAGUUUUAAACUGGUGGCACACUUGUUUGUUGUUGCCUGUAUUGAUAUUAUUCACUAUAGUUUAGUAUCCAUCAAGAGUCCGUAAUAGAGACCCUAUUAGAUUAAUAGAGCUCAUAGGGUCUAUGUCCCGCAGGGUACUGCCGGAACGUACCCUGGGUACGGUC
rnacentral:misc_RNA from 1 species